rnacentral:rRNA from 1 species
AUUGAACGCUGGCGGCAGGCCUAACACAUGCAAGUCGAACGAGUGGCGGACGGGUGAGUAAUGUCUGGGAAACGGCCUGCUGGAGGGGGAUAACUACUGGAAACGGUAGCUAAUACCGCAUACCAUCGGAUGUGCCCAGAUGGGAUUAGCUAGUAGGUUGGGUAACGGCGCACCUAGGCGACGAUCCCUAGCUGGUCUGAGAGGAUGACCAGCCACACUGUGACUGAGACACGGUCCAGACUCCUACGGGAGGCAGCAGUGGGGAAUAGUGCACAAUGGGCGCAAGCCUGAUGCAGCCAUGCCGCGUGUAUGAAGAAGGCCUUCGGGUUGUAAAGUACUUUCAGCGGGGAGGCGUUACCCGCAGAAGAAGCACCGGCUAACUCCGUGCCAGCAGCCGCGGUAAUAC